GUAGCGACGGAUAGCAACCACGUGAUCAGUAAAAAUUGUGUAUUUUCACGUGAAUUCAUUUUCCGGAAUUCCUUACUCCGUCAUAGAAUAGUCGAAAAACAUGAAGGGGUUCCGAAAGUGUUUUGUUGUUGUGACUGACUCGCCUACAGAAAAUAUGCACAUACCACAUAAGUAUACGUCAAUGUCUGUAAUAAUGGUAGAUCAAAUGUUUCAUCUGUGUGAAACUUUUUGCUAAUCGAAAUGUUAAACCAACCACCAAUCCAUGUACAUAGAUGCGCUACGUAAACAAAGUUGUUGAUCGAUGCAUAGUAAUGUCCGAGUGCUGCAUGCUGAGAGAUUAGAUACUGUUUAUACAGUCAUUGAGAGGCUAAACAAAGUUUCUUGCAAGAAGAGGAAGUUAGUGGAUGCAUUCAACUUGGACAACGAAAUCAUAGUUUCGUUUGGCAUCAGCCUGAAGACCGAGGGAGGUUAGAUAGGACCAGUGCAGGUUGAAGUGGAUUUCGAGGCAACAAGUAUAACAGCAAGAGAGGUACUCCAUUUACAGUGAUGAUGACAUAUCCCCUGGACCCCCACAA